rnacentral:rRNA from 1 species
GAUGAACGCUGGCGGCGUGCCUAAUACAUGCAAGUCGAGCGAACGGACGAGAAGCUUGCUUCUCUGAUGUUAGCGGCGGACGGGUGAGUAACACGUGGAUAACCUACCUAUAAGACUGGGAUAACUUCGGGAAACCGGAGCUAAUACCGGAUAAUAUUUUGAACCGCAUGGUUCAAAAGUGAAAGACGGUCUUGCUGUCACUUAUAGAUGGAUCCGCGCUGCAUUAGCUAGUUGGUAAGGUAACGGCUUACCAAGGCAACGAUGCAUAGCCGACCUGAGAGGGUGGUCGGACACACUGGAACUGAGACACGGUCCAGACUCCUACGGGAGGCAGCAGUAGGGAAUCUUCCGCAAUGGGCGAAAGCCUGACGGAGCAACGCCGCGUGAGUGAUGAAGGUCUUCGGAUCGUAAAACUCUGUUAUUAGGGAAGAACAUAUGUGUAAGUAACUGUGCACAUCUUGACGGUACCUAAUCAGAAAGCCACGGCUAACUACGUG